GCUUGGUGGUCUAAGGGUUAAGAGUUUGUACGCGAGAUGAAAGGUCCUGGGUUCAAUUCCCAUGUAAGGAA
rnacentral:tRNA from 1 species